rnacentral:rRNA from 1 species
ACCCGCUGAACUUAAGCAUAUCAAUAGCGGGAGGAAAAGAAACCAACAGGGAUUGCCUCAGUAACGGCGAGUGAAGCGGCAAGAGCUCAAAUUUGAAAUCUGGCACCUUCGGUGUUCGAGUUGUAAUUUGAAGAGGAGUCUUCGGUUUGGGUCGUGGCCUAUGUUCCUUGGAACAGGACGUCGUAGAGGGUGAGAAUCCCGUACACGGCUGACGAUCUCUUACCAUGUGAAGUUCCUUCGAAGAGUCGAGUUGUUUGGGAAUGCAGCUCUAAAUGGGUGGUAAAUUUCAUCUAAAGCUAAAUACCGGCGAGAGACCGAUAGCGCACAAGUAGAGUGAUCGAAAGAUGAAAAGCACUUUGAAAAGAGAGUUAAACAGUACGUGAAAUUGUUGAAAGGGAAGCGCUUGCAAUCAGACUUGCCUUUGGUCGAUCAACGUUCCUUCUGGUUCGUGCACUCGGCCUUUGGCAGGCCAGCAUCGGCUCGGACGGUGGGAUAAAGGCUUUGGGAAUGUGGCUCUCUUCGGGGAGUGUUAUAGCCCAAGGUGCGAUGCCGCCUGACUGGACCGAGGACCGCGCUUCGGCUAGGAUGCUGGCGUAAUGGUUGUAAGCGACCCGUCUUGAAACACGG